UACGUAGGGGGCAAGCGUUGUCCGGAAUCAUUGGGCGUAAAGAGCGUGUAGGCGGCCCGGUAAGUCUGUUGUGAAAGUCCAGGGCUCAACCCUGGAAAGCCGAUGGAUACUGCCGGGCUAGCAGUCGGAAGAGGCGAGUGGAAUUCCUGGUGUAGCGGUGGAAUGCGCAGAUAUCAGGAGGAACACCUAUAGCGAAGGCAGCUCGCUGGGACGACACUGACGCUGAGACGCGAAAGCGUGGGGAGCAAACAGG
rnacentral:rRNA from 1 species